UACGUAGGGGGCAAGCGUUGUCCGGAAUCAUUGGGCGUAAAGAGCGUGUAGGCGGUCCGGUAAGUCAGCUGUGAAAGUCAAGGGCUCAACCCUUGAAAGCCGGUUGAUACUGUCGGGCUAGAGUCCGGAAGAGGCGAGUGGAAUUCCCGGUGUAGCGGUGAAAUGCGCAGAUAUCGGGAGGAACACCAAUGGCGAAGGCAGCUCGCUGGGACGUGACUGACGCUGAGACGCGAAAGCGUGGGGAGCGAACAGG
rnacentral:rRNA from 1 species